UCCCUGGUGGCUCAGAUGGUAAAGAAUCUGCCUGCAAUGCAGGAGACCCGGGUUCAGUUCCUGGGUUGGGAA
rnacentral:tRNA from 1 species